GACGAACGCUGGCGGCGUGCUUAACACAUGCAAGUCGAACGGAAAGGCCCUGCCUUUGUGGGGUGCUCGAGUGGCGAACGGGUGAGUAACACGUGAGUAACCUGCCCUUGACUUUGGGAUAACUUCAGGAAACUGGGGCUAAUACCGGAUAGGAGCUCCUGCUGCAUGGUGGGGGUUGGAAAGUUUCGGCGGUUGGGGAUGGACUCGCGGCUUAUCAGCUUGUUGGUGGGGUAGUGGCUUACCAAGGCUUUGACGGGUAGCCGGCCUGAGAGGGUGACCGGCCACAUUGGGACUGAGAUACGGCCCAGACUCCUACGGGAGGUAGCAGUGGGGAAUAUUGCACAAUGGGCGGAAGCCUGAUGCAGCAACGCCGCGUGCGGGAUGACGGCCUUCGGGUUGUAAACCGCUUUCGCCUGUGACGAAGCGUGAGUGACGGUAAUGGGUAAAGAAGCACCGGCUAACUACGUG
rnacentral:rRNA from 1 species